rnacentral:rRNA from 1 species
UGGGGAAUAUUGCACAAUGGGGGAAACCCUGAUGCAGCGACGUCGCGUGAGCGAAGAAGGCCUUCUGGUCGUAAAGCUCUGUCCUAUGGGAAGAAAAGGACGGUACCAUAGAAGGAAGCCCCGGCUAACUACGUGCCAGCAGCCGCGGUAAUACGUAGGGGGCGAACGUUAUCCGGAAUGAUUGGGCGUAAAGGGUACGUAGGCGGCACUUUAAGUCAGGUGUGAAAGGCAUGGGCUCAACCCAUGUAAGCACUUGAAACUGGAGUGCUUGAGGGAAGGAGAGGAAAGUGGAAUUCCUAGUGUAGCGGUGAAAUGCGUAGAUAUUAGGAGGAAUACCGGUGGCGAAGGCGACUUUCUGGACUUUUUCUGACGCUGAGGUACGAAAGCGUGGGGAGCAAACAGG